rnacentral:rRNA from 1 species
CAAUAGCGUAUAUUAAAGUUGUUGCGGUUAAAAAGCUCGUAGUUGGAUUUCUGCCGAGGACGACCGGUCCGCCCUCUGGGUGAGUAUCUGGCUCGGCCUGGGCAUCUUCUUGGAGAACGUAGCUGCACUUGACUGUGUGGUGCGGUAUCCAGGACUUUUACUUUGAGGAAAUUAGAGUGUUUCAAGCAGGCUUACGCCUUGAAUACAUUAGCAUGGAAUAAUAAGAUAGGACCUCGGUUCUAUUUUGUUGGUUUCUAGAGCUGAGGUAAUGAUUAAUAGGGAUAGUUGGGGGCAUUCGUAUUUAACUGUCAGAGGUGAAAUUCUUGGAUUUGUUAAAGACUGACUACUGCGAAAGCAUUUGCCAAGGAUGUUUUCAUUGA